AGAGUUUGAUCAUGGCUCAGGAUGAACGCUGGCGGCGUGCCUAAUACAUGCAAGUCGNACGCUUUGUCUUUAACUGAUAUGAAGAGCUUGCUCUGAUUUGAUUUUAUCUGACAAAGAGUGGCGAACGGGUGAGUAACACGUGGGUAACCUACCUCUUAGCAGGGGAUAACAUUUGGAAACAAGUGCUAAUACCGUAUAAUACCAACAACCGCAUGGUUGUUGGUUGAAAGAUGGUUCUGCUAUCACUAAGAGAUGGACCCGCGGUGCAUUAGCUAGUUGGUAAGGUAACGGCUUACCAAGGCAAUGAUGCAUAGCCGAGUUGAGAGACUGAUCGGCCACAAUGGGACUGAGACACGGCCCAUACUCCUACGGGAGGCAGCAGUAGGGAAUCUUCCACAAUGGGCGCAAGCCUGAUGGAGCAACGCCGCGUGUGUGAUGAAGGGUUUCGGUUCGUAAAACACUGCUAUAAGAGAAGAACGGCACUGAGAGUAACUGUUCAGUGUGUGACGGUAUCUUACCAGAAAGGAACGGCUAAAUACGUGCCAGCAGCCGCGGUUAUACGUAUGUUCCAAGCGUUAUCCGGAUUUAUUGGGCGUAAAGCGAGCGCAGACGGUUAUUUAAGUUUGAAGUGAAAGCCCUCAGCUCAACUGAGGAAUGGCUUUGGAAACUGGAUGACUUGAGUGCAGUAGAGGAAAGUGGAACUCCAUGUGUAGCGGUGAAAUGCGUAGAUAUAUGGAAGAACACCAGUGGCGAAGGCGGCUUUCUGGACUGUAACUGACGUUGAGGCUCGAAAGUGUGGGUAGCAAACAGGAUUAGAUACCCUGG
rnacentral:rRNA from 1 species